AUAAACUAAAAGAAAUACAGUAUUUACAAAUGGCGUUUGUUCUCUUGUUUUAAAGGUUUGUUGAGUCAAAACAAAUCAAUGCAGUCAAUCAGAGGAGCUCAAAACUCUGCAAUGGAUAUAACGUGUAGGGAAAAAAAAUUCGCCUCCCGCGAGUCUCGAGACCUACAACAUCUGG